UCAUGUAGACUUGGGUGCAAUUUAAAC
rnacentral:piRNA from 1 species